rnacentral:rRNA from 1 species
UGAUCCUGCGGACGGGGAGAAGGUCCAAGAACAGGAUUCAACAAUAGCAGGAAGAGGAGGCCUAGACCCGGAGUUGANUAAGGCANGACACGAUAUAUAACACAAGGCGCUUAGCCAUGUCUGACAGAGAGAGGGAGCAGAGCUACACCGGACCAUGAGCAACUUGCGGAAGGUGAACCAUACGGAAGGACACUAAAGGUAAUAAGUCACUGGCUCAAGGGUAGGUCGAGCGAAGAGGAUGAGGAACCGGCCGAGUGGUAACCAUAAACUAUGAAUGCUAGAGAUGCGAAGAUCGUUAGUUCUUGACUCGUGAGGAACGUACGAGAAAAUAAAGUCUUUGGGCUCUUGGGCGAGUAUGUCUGAAGGCUGAAACAUAAUGAAGCGACAUAAGGCACGACCAGAAAGAGGAGCCAUGCUUAAUUGGAAUAGAGGGUGAACUAGCAGGUUCCGGAAGAAUGAGGGUAGACAAUGUAGAACGCCUUUUAGAAUUGAGGCGGGGUCCAAGGCGGGCUAAAGUGGGGAGAAAAAGGUUGGCUUAAUGGACCCUUAAAAAAUUUCCCGACGCCCCCCCCCGCCGUUGCCCCCUCCCGCCUUAUUUUGACCCCACCCGGGAACCUCCCCAGGUCCCAGCCCCAUUAGGAUUUCCCAGAUUGACAGCCUCUUUCCUCAUUUUUGUCCGCUGGUGGUGCCUCGCCCGUCUUACGUUGCUCCAUUGAUUUGUCUGCUUAAUUCCGAUGCCGACCGAAGACAUUUACCUGCUAAAUAGCCCGUAUUGCUUUGCCACGCUCGCUGCUUCUUAGAGGGCCUCUCCGCCUUCACCCGUUGCACCGUUCGAUCCACUACCAGGUCUGUGAUGCCCUUAGAUGUUCUGGCCCGCACGCGCGUUCCUACUGACAGAACGACAGCGCAGGUCCUUUCCUUAGUAGAGAUCCUUCGCGCGUAAUCUUGUUACCCUCUGUCGUGCUGGGCAUACAGCAUUGCAAUUAUUGCUCUUCACACGUAGCGCCUUCCUCAUGUCUACCGUAUAGUCAUUCCACUCUGCGCUCUGAUCUCCUGUCCCUGCCCUAUGUCGUGAUCAUCACCCGCCCGUCGCUCACUCCCUCCCUGAAUGAGCUCAGUCGUAGCGCUCUUCUGAGUCUCACUCCAGGACGGAGUCACGCAUACUGUCUACCUACAGUGGCCGUGACAACGCUCAUCCAACU